GGAGAGGUGUCCGAGUGGUUUAAGGAACCGGUCUUGAAAACCGGCGAUACCCGUGAGGGUACCAAGGGUUCGAAUCCCUUCCUCUCCGCCA
rnacentral:tRNA from 1 species